rnacentral:rRNA from 1 species
UCCGUAGGCGGUGUGGCAAGUCGGGGGUGAAAUCUCUGGGCUUAACUCAGAGACUGCCUCCGAAACUGCCGUGCUUGAGUGUGGGAGAGGCGCGUGGAAUUGCAGGUGUAGCGGUGAAAUGCGUAGAUAUCUGCAGGAACACCCGUGGCGAAAGCGGCGCGCUGGACCACAACUGACGCUGAGGGACGAAAGCUAGGGGAGCAAACAGGAUUAGAUACCCUGGUAGUCCUAGCCCUAAACGAUCAGGACUUGGGGUGUCUCGCGUCCGCGAGACGUCCCGGAGCUAACGCGUUAAGUCCUGCACCUGGGGAGUACGGUCGCAAGACUGAA